AGCCAACCCAAUUUAAACCCAGCCCAAACCAACCUCUCUGCUGACCCGGCCUAAUGUCUAAGUCUCCUUCUCUAAUGUGUACAAUACCACUAGCGAACAACGCGACAACAAUAGCAAAAUCACGAUAUCAACAAUAAUCCGAACCAGCCUCAACGACUCCAGCUUGUUGAACUUAACAGCGAAACCCAACCCACUUGCAACCCAGUGAUUUCACCAGUCAACUAUCAUCACAGCAACAAUGUUCAACCUGCAAACCCUAAAACCUGACACUGACCCGAUUCAUUCCAGUUCCAUAAAAAAAAUAUUGCAGUAUCGACACCUCAUCAAGUCGAGGUACAUAUUCCCUAAAAUCCAGCUAAAAAUUCAUUGGUUUAGUACUAUCAUAGAACAAACUUGUUCCAUUCUUAUUGAUUGUGAGAAAUUCAUUUGCCCCCCAAAAUCCCCUACGAAUUUAGCCAUUUUCUUUGUCCUAAUUCAUCUGUGGAAAGAGUUAAAAAAUUCAAAAGCUUAUCUUGUUUUUAAAAUUUAAAAAUCCUCAAUUUAUUUCUUCUUUUUUUGCCCUUUGAUAUGCUUAUCCCACAUCAGUUGAGAAUUUAAAGGAGACCCUGAAAACUCUUCUAUAUAAAGCCCUCUUUGGUGAAAAAUUGACAAGGCUUGAGAGGUUGAAAAAUCUUUGAGCAAAAUCAGUCCAUUUUUAAUUAAAAAAAAAUAUUUUGUAAAAUUGGUUGGCUAAUUGGAUUUUUUGAGUUGAUGGUGACGUUUUUUGGUGGUGGUUAAUUCAAAAAAAAAGACUUAUAGUCUCGUUUUACUGCCUUGGAAGAGGUGAACACACCUCUCACUUUCAUUUUUAUUACCGAUUUCUCCUUCAUCUCUUUCUCCAUAGAAAUAUUUGUUAGUCGCAAUUGUGAAUGAGGCUGAGAUUGCCUGCUGUAGAGGCUUUGAUGGCCAUAAGAAUUGCUUGUAAUGAUUAUUAUCUUUAUGUCGUUAUUUUAGUUGAAGUUGCUUGAUAUUAUUGUUUGUGUUGAUUCUUAUUCACUAUUUUAGCUUCAUGUUGUUAUGUUUUAAGAUAUUGUUGUCAUAUAACUUAAAUGAUAAUUUGUUAUGUUUGUGGGUUGCAAUUUCACUUAGUUUUGUUAAUCUAGUGCCAAAGUUUUAUUUUUAUUAGUUCUAGUAUGUUGUUUGUGGCCUAAUCGUUACUCGUCGUAGUUUCAAUUUUGUUGUUUCAAUUCGGGUUCAUUUUUAGUUCUUUGGAAAAUUGCUUUAGUUGUGCAAGUUUUUCUCUUUGAUGUAUAGUCGGAUCGCUCCUAAGUGUUCCUUGACCCUUAAUGUCAAUGGAAAAGAUGGAGUCGGUUUAUAAGCAAAAAAACUUCAACCCGAAUAUCUCUUUGUUUGUGGCUUAAUCGUUGCUCGUUGUGGUUUCGAUUUUGUUGUUUUAAUUCGGGUUUAUUUUUAGUUCUUUGAAAAAUUGCUUUAGUUAUGCAAGUUUUCCUCUUUGAUGUAUAGUCGGAUCACUCCUAAGUGUUCCUUGACCCUUAAUGUCAAUGGAAAAGAUGAAGUUGGUUUAUUAGCCAAAAAUUUCAAUCCAAAGAUUUCUUCGUUUGUGUUUUAAUCGUUGCUCGUUGUAGUUUCAAUUUUGUUGUUUUAAUUUGGCAGUUCUUUGAAAAAUUACUUUAGUUAUACCAGUUUUCCUCUUUGAUGCAUAGUCCGAUUGCUCCUAAGUGUUGCUUGACCCUUAAUGUCAACGGAAAAGAUGAAGUCGAUUUAUAAGCCAAAAACUUCAACCCGAAGAUCUUUGUUUGUGGCUUAAUUGUUGCUCGUUGUGGUUUCGAUUUUAUUAUUUUAAUUCGAGUUUAUUUUUAGUUCUUUAGAAAAUUGCUUUAGUUGUUCAAGUUUUCCUCUUUGAUGUAUAGUCGGAUCUCUCCUAAGUGUUCCUUGACCCGUAAUGUCAAUGGAAAAGAUGAAGUUGGUUUAUAAGCCAAAAUUUCAACUCGAAGAUCUCUUUGUUUGUGGCUUAAUCAUUGCUCGUUGUGGUUUCGAUUUUGUUGUUUUAAUUUGGGUAUUUUUAGCUCUUUGAAUAAUUUCUUUACUUAUGCAAGUUUUCCUCUUUGGUGUAUAGUCGGAUCGCUCCUAAAUGUUCCUUGACCCUUAAUGUCAAUGAAAAAAAUAAAGUCGGUUUAUAAGCCAAAAAGUUUAAUCCGAAGAUCCCUUUGUUUGUGGUGUAAUCAUCACUCGUUGUGGUUUUGAUUUUGUUGUUUUAACUCAGGUUCAUUUUUAUUUCUUUGAAAAAAUUGCUUUAGUUCAAGUUUCCUCUUUGAUGCAUAGUUAGACUGCUCCUAAGUGCUCCUUGACCUGUAAUGUCAAUGGAAAAUAUGGAGUUGAUUUAUAAGCCAAAAGCUUUAACCAGAGGAUCCCUCUAUGACCUUAUGCAGAGUUUUCUUGGAACUUGCAAAAAAGA
rnacentral:lncRNA from 1 species